AUUGAACGCUGGCGGCAGGCCUAACACAUGCAAGUCGAACGAGUGGCGGACGGGUGAGUAAUGUCUGGGAAACUGCCCGAUGGAGGGGGAUAACUACUGGAAACGGUAGCUAAUACCGCAUACCAUCGGAUGUGCCCAGAUGGGAUUAGCUAGUAGGUGGGGUAACGGCUCACCUAGGCGACGAUCCCUAGCUGGUUUGAGAGGAUGACCUGCCACGCUGGAACUGAACCACGGUCCAGACUCCUACGGUAGGCAGCAGUGGGGAAUAUUGCACAAUUGGCGCAAGCCUGAUGCAGCCAUGCCGCGUGUAUGAAGAAGGCCUUCGGGUUGUAAAGUACUUUCAGCGAGGAGGCGUUGCUCGCAGAAGAAGCACCGGCUAACUCCGUGCCAGCAGCCGCGGUAAUUC
rnacentral:rRNA from 1 species